rnacentral:tRNA from 6 species
GGGCCUAUAGCUCAGCGGUAGAGCCCCCGGCUCAUAACCGGUUGGUCCUAGGUUCGAAUCCUAGUGGGCCCACCA